CGACCCUGAGGGAGAAGCGGCUUAGAAGGUGUGUGUGUGUGUGUAUCCCUCACUGACUGAAUCCACAACUUAUUUUUUUAUUUUUACCCAGUUUUCUCCCCAAUUUAGUCGUCUCCAAUUCCUCCUGCUAGUUAGGACACAAUCACACCAUACUACCAACACUAGGAGGAUGAAAGCAAACACAGGCUUCCUCUGCAUCUUGUUGAACUGACGCUUAUGCAACAUCAUUAGACAGCCAAACGCGCUUGUAGGAAAGUGAUAACCUCCAGAUCUGUUGCAUCAGCUACAGGCAUCGUGUUGAGUGAUGCCCACCCAGAGAGAGCGAAGCCAACUGUGCUCUCUUGCACCCCGGACGGACAACGGUAGCAUCACCAGGGAUCAAACUCGCAGCCUCCUGAUGAUGAUAGGGUCAAUGCUUAUGUAACCAGUAGAGUUUGCUUGCUGGAAGUACCGUAUGGGCGUAGACGGCCACCGUAGUUUUUUUGCUUCUCAGGUGAAACGCAUUAUUUCCACUAGUAUAAAGGUAAGGCAGUGCACGUCAAGCCUGGGUUUCUCGUAGUUGCUGUGUCUGUGCUGUGGGGCUUUGCUGCUGGGAGGUGUCGCUUGGAGGGUUGCUAGGCUACGGGUACGCUCUGUACCCCUCCUCUUCUUUCUCUCUCUCAUUGCAGCCACGGGCUGUAUGAGCACCAGCAUAGAGUGUUUUGGGCAGACGAAUACAUUCCUGAAGAAUACGGGUGGGUUUGAGUCUGCAUGCCAGAAUACGGGUGUGUUUGAGCGUUGGCGUACCGGAAUACAGGUGGGUUUGUAAUUGGUCAUUUCGUGGUGUUUUAAGUCACGCUGUAACUAAUAUUUUGCACAAUAUACGUAUAUAUGUAGUGUGUUAAGUAUGGUAUUGUUUAAUUAGUUCCUGGUGAAGCCCUCUCUGCCCUAUACUGAUUUAGGUAAACAUACACCCGUAUGAGUGGUAACUUUUAUCUGAAGGUACGUGUUGAGUAGUUAUUAAUUUCUUUAUUAUUAGUGUUGAAAGUGAUUUAACUUAGCAUUUUACUAAUUGUUUUAAUUGACUAAUUUUGAUUAGGUUCUGGUGUGGAUGUCGCCCAAGUUGAAUCUAGGUGGCUUCUAGAGACCUAAAUUAAGGAGCCUUGGAGUGGCGCCACUGCUGUUUUGCCUAUGAUCCAAUUUUGUUGUUUUCUUUCUUUUGUUCUUUACUUUGUGGUCUUGUGUAGAAUAAAAUUGAUUUUUUUUUAGUAAAUAAAAUUGUUUCCUUUAUUUUUUUCUGUUGAUCCACUUUUAGUGGACCAACUGAAUUAUUGUUGGAUUUGUUGUGUCUUUGGUUUAUUGUAAUAGGUUGUUUUGUUUGUUUUUUUUCUCUUUUUUUUACUUUUCGAUAUAUUGGCUGCAGUUUCGAGGGUUGUUUAUAGCCCAGGUUGCUUUAUAGUGCUGUGAUGUUAACAGCUGUCUCUUGUUCCUUUUAGAGCGUACCUGUGUCUGCGGCAGUUCCGCAGUCGGUUACCUUCGGAAGGCUUCCUCUCUCCUUGGGCACACCUCUUUUCACACUUUGCAUGCUGUGGUAAUGUUAAUGUGUUGGUCACGUGCACUUUUCUCUUAAAGCCUGGUACUUGUGUGGUUGUGUGCUUGUGUGUGAUUUCAGGUUCCUAGAGGAGGGCGUGAGAAGGGUUGAAGCAGUGCCAGAUUCAACAACCUGGUGGUAUUAUCUCCUUGUUGGAGG